UACAGAGGAUGCAAGCGUUAUCCGGAAUGAUUGGGCGUAAAGCGUCUGUAGGUGGCUUUUUAAGUCCGCCGUCAAAUCCCAGGGCUCAACUCUGGACAGGCGGUGGAAACUACCAAGCUGGAGUACGGUAGGGGCAGAGGGAAUUUCCGGUGGAGCGGUGAAAUGCGCAGAUAUCAGGAGGAACACCGGUGGCGAAGGCGGUGGUCUGGGCCGGAACUGACGCUGAGGAGCGAAAGCGUGGGGAGCGAACAGG
rnacentral:rRNA from 1 species